UGUCUAGUGGCGAAAGGGUGAGUAACACGUGAGCAACCUGCCCCCGAGUCUGGAAUAAGCGAUGGAAACGUCGUCUAAUACCGGAUGAGGACUGGGGUCUCCUGACUCCAACUCCAAAGAUUUAUCGCUUGGGGAUGGGCUCGCGUCCCAUUAGCUAGUUGGCGGGGUAAUGGCCCACCAAGGCUGUGACGGGUAGGUGGACUGAGAGGUUGGUCACCCACACUGGGACUGAGACACUGCCCAGACUCCUACGGGAGGCUGCAGUCGAGAAUCUUCCGCAAUGGGCGCAAGCUGACGGAGCGAUGCCGCGUGAGGGAAGAAGGCCUUCGGGUUGUAAACCUCUGUCACCCGGGACGAAAACAAUGACGGUACCGGGAGAGGAAGUCACGGCUAACUACGUGCCAGCAGCCGCGGUAACACGGGGGUUGCGAGCGUUGUCCGGAAUUACUAGGCGUAAAGGGCAGGUAGGCGGAUCUACGAGUUUUUUGUUAAAGGCUACGGCUCAACUGUAGUAGAGCAGGAGAUACUGUAGGUCUGGAAUGCGGUAGGGGGAGACAGAAUUCCUGGUGUAGCGGUGGAAUGCGCAGAGAUCAGGAGGAAUACCGAAGGCGAAGGCAGUCUUCUAAGCCGAUAUUGACGCUAAACUGCGAAGGUGUGGGGAUCAAACAGGAUUAGAUACCCUGGUAGUCCACACAGUAAACGAUAAUCACUAGGUGUUGGGUUCUUAAGAGGAUUCAGUGCCGGAGCUAACGCGAUAAGUGAUUCGCCUGGGGAGUACGAUCGCAAGGUUGAAACUCAAAGGAAUUGACGGGGGCCCGCACAAGCGGUGGAGCAUGUGGUUUAAUUCGAGGCAACGCGAAGAACCUUACCCGGUUUUGACAUCCACGGGAGGCUUCAGAGAUGGAGCUGUGCCGGCGUAAGCUGGAGCCGUGAGACAGGUGCUGCAUGGCUGUCGUCAGCUCGUGUCGUGAGAUGUUGGGUUAAGUCCCGCAACGAGCGCAACCCUUGCCUUCAGUUACCAUCAUUAAGUUGGGGACUCUGGAGGGACCGCUGCGGUAACAACGCAGAGGAAGAUGGGGACGACGUCAAGUCAUCAUGGUCCUUAUGGCCGGGGCUACACACGUGCUACAAUGGCAGUUACAGAGGGAAGCGAUUCAGUAAUGAGGAGCGAAACUCAGAAAAGCUGCCGCAGUUCGGAUUGAGGUCUGCAACUCGGCCUCAUGAAGUCGGAAUCGCUAGUAAUCGCGCAACAUCAUGGCGCGGUGAAUACGUUCCCGGGCC
rnacentral:rRNA from 1 species